rnacentral:sRNA from 1 species
GAAGACGACUAGGUCAGCUCUGUGAAGUCUUCUAUUUUUACCCUCUUCCAGCCUGCCAUGCAUGGGUGCUUAAAGCCUCAGACCUAGGCUGGGCGUCAAGCGGUUUCCCUCAGACUCGGAGCCUUUGGCCUACAGAAUCAUGGCGGCUGCAGGUCUGCAACUUUCUGCUUCCCCGGACCCCCGGCUGUGCUGGGUGGCCCACACCCAUCUGCUGAGGAGGACGAGGUGGGGAAAAGCCUUAGAGGUCAGUGUCUCGAAGCCAGCCUGGGCAGUACAAUGAGAUUCCUUCUGUCUCAAAUAUAUAAGUGACUGAAUAAGAUGUAAAAUGGCCAACUGCUGGGAGGGCCAAGGGAAAGGAGCCUCUGAAGGUCUUUUGGCAGAGGACCCAAGGCAUGGAUGACAGCAAGGUUAGCAAGAAGGACAGGCCCUGCAGAUCCACACAGGAUCCAGUCUCCGGAAAGAAAUUGUUAUCAGGCAGAGGCUGCUGUGGGGAGCCUGACCCGGAAGCCUUGGGUUCUUUUCAGGAAGGUCAAGAGGAGCCAUCUGGCAUCCUCGGCCUAGAAGCUCAGAACUCGGAAACUCUCAGAGUCUCUUCCAACACAACUGGUGCAAAGAACCACCCUCCUUGCCAACCCCACUAGAAAACAGGUGCCAGAAGGUCUCGCCUGUCCUUCCAGUGUCCAUGGUGCCAUUUCUCUGCAGAGCCUCCCAUGGCAAGGCACGAGGACUCACAACAUUGUUCCAGCCCACUUCAGACCUGAGAUACCCACAGAUGCCUACCUUAGCAACACGAUUAACCUCCAGGAUUCUUAUGGGUUGAAUAGUGCUCACCCACUGACUGAUGUGUGCUCAGAAUCCCAGGAAGGAGGAGAGAGAUCUUCAUGGGUAUCCUUCAGUACGGUGGAGGCCACCUAGGAUUUAGGGUGAGCACCGACUUUAACCACCGGUGUCCUUGUGAAUAAGAACAGGACACAGACCCAGAGGAAGAGUGCCACACCUGGACAAGGCAGAAACGAGAGUGGUCAAAAGUCAAGGAACACCGGGGAUGUUGCAGCUCUCAAUCUGGCAAACCUCCUUGUUGGCUUGGAACAGUUCUGGAAAAGGAAGCCUCUAAGACAGCAGGAACAAAUGCCUCACAGCACGGGCAAGUUGGAGAUCAAGAGAAAUGGCGUCAUCAUCACCACCACCACCAUCAUCACCAUCAUCAUCAUCAAUACCAUCAGUGCCGGAGGACAUCUUUGGAAGUCGGUUCUCCUCGUCCAUCCACCGUUGGACCCAGGAACUGAAUUUAGGUCUUCAGGCGAGCACAGCAAGCACAAGCACUCUCACCUGCUGAGUCAUCCCUCUGACCCCUUUAUUCUUCUGUGCUGAUGCAAGAGAUGAAAACCCAAGGCCUCAGAUGUGCUCCGUGCUCUGCCCUGGGCUCCAGCACCAGAGUGCACGAACUUUUGCAAUACCAAGGAAAUUAAACCCAGCGUACACACCAUUCAGACAUACGCACGCACGUAUACACGCAUGCCACACUUGCUCCGCCCAUUUACACUCGUACAAAUCCACGUGACUAAAUUUGCAUCGUGGCUGCUUGAAUCCAGACGGCAUGGAAACACACACGUCAUGCGAUCACACACAUGCUUGGAUGCUCGUGUGUUGUGUGUUGUAUCUAUACGCCUAGGUGUGCAUCACACAGAGAGAUGCGUUCAGGGCCCAUUCCAGCAGAAGACUUCGGAACAGAGAACAGACGGACGGGCUGGUGAUGACAUCAGCCUGUAUCUGCCUUGGAAAGGGUUGGGGGUAUCUGCUGUGGUGUGUUCUUGGCCUCUUGACAUUUACCUUGUGGGACCCUGGCCCCUGCACCCCUGCCUGCCACACCUUAUUCCCCUGGCCCCUGCACAGAAGGGCUGUCCCAUAUGGCAGGGAACAGGGGUGACCCUGUUGCCCUGUGAGAAUGCCUCGGGAAUCCCACACAGAUCUCUUUCUGCCUGAUGUCUCCUUGGGGCACUAGGGAUGAACAGCUUUUGACAUGUUGAGCGGGAAAUUGCUUUUCCCCUCCUGCUUCUGAGACUCGCUCUUAAGACUUUAAUUGCAGAAGAAGGCUCUGGGGUUGGAGACUGUGCAGGUGUGAGUGAUGUCAGCUUUCGGAGCCUGGCAGGGCUGAGCCAGGGAGAGGGCUGUGCGGGGAGGGAUGGGGGAGUAGGGGGUGGCACCUUCGGAGCCAGAAUCAGCCCUGUCAUUUAAAUCCUCUGUGCUCCCCGCCUCCAGACCUCAGGCUUCUCUGAGGUAUCACACAGUGCCCAUUAGGGGCCUUCCUCAUCAUGAACACCUACCUCCCUCUUACCUUGAAGGAGCCCUCACUGUGAGCGGGUGCUAGGUUUGGUUCUGCAGUCUUGUCCCCAGGUCCUGCCUGUACUGGGCACUGUGGGCACUGGCGGUAGGAAGCCAGAGACUCUGUCCUUCCUCAGGGUAAAUAGGAGUCGUUCAGACCUGGUGAGUGGGUAUCUUGGCAAGGGGAACCCAGGUAAGACCCCACUGGCACUCACGGUAAAUAGAGGGGCCCAUCAGAAGCCCAGCCUGAGACUCCCUUCCCCAACCAGGCCUCAGGCAAGGUACUCUCCUGCCUAUGGCAUCUGUAAGUCAGAGAGAUCCCUUCACUCACCAGAUGCUUCAUUUGAUCAUUUGUCCUGACUCAGGGAUACUCCUUUCCCUUAUGCAGCAAGGACUCACAGAAGUAAGUCCUCAUGGGCCCAGAUAAAGCCAUUUUGACGGACACUCAGGCAGCGUUGCAAGGACCUACACUGUGGCGGUAAACGGGGCCUAUGCACUGAGCCAUAAGGCGGCUGCUGUCGGAGGGAGGGGUCAAAGGGGACCGGAGUCUUCUAAUAGAGCUGGCUAAAUGAGCCAAGUGUGAUGACAAAAAUGCAUCCAUCACUCUUAGAAGGGAGGGCGCUUCCACAUGCGUGAGAAGAGCCGUGCUGCUGAGGAGGGGAGUCACAGCUGGGAGGGAGCAGGCAGGGACUCAGAGCUCCACAGGCAGGCUUCAGCAAGCAGCCGCAAGCCCUCCCGCAGUGAGUGGAAACAGAAGCUCACCUCAGAAUCACCAAGAGAAGCAAAAGGAAACGAUGGAGUGGGUUUGAUAGCACCACCCUCAUUGUCAGGGAGCAGAGGUGGCAGGGGCCAGAACCAGUGACCCCAGGAUCAUAGGGAACAGGCCCAGCCUUGGCAGAGCCUCAGGAACCAGUAAGCACGCACACAUCACACACUCAAUGUUCUGAAAUCAGAGAAGUGCAAGGCUGACAGAAUAUUGGGGGAGACAACAAGGCUGCACUGUGUGUGAAGGGGCCUGCUGCCAAGCUCCUGAUAACCCGAGUUCAAUCCCAGGAACUGACACAGAGGAAGGGAGAAUUGACCCACAAAAGCUGUCCUCUGAC